rnacentral:rRNA from 1 species
UACGUAGGGUCCGAGCGUUGUCCGGAAUUAUUGGGCGUAAAGGGCUCGUAGGCGGUUUGUUCGCGUCGGGAGGUGAAACGACCGGGCGCUUAACUCGGUGCUUGCUUUCGAUACGGGCAGACUGGAGGUAUGCAGGGGAGAACGGAAUUCCUGGUGUAGCGGUGAAAUGCGCAGAUAUCAGGAGGAACACCGGUGGCGAAGGCG